AAUCAACGCUGGCGGCGUGCCUAACACAUGCAAGUCGCGCGCGAAAGGGGGGCAACUCCCGAGUAAAGCGGCGAACGGGUGAGUAACACGUGGGUAAUCUACCUUCGAGUGGGGAACAACACCGGGAAACUGGUGCUAAUUCCGCAUGACAUCGUCGGGGCUUCGGUUCUGACGCUCAAAGCUGGGGAUCGCAAGACCUAGCGCUUGAAGAUGAGCCCGCGUCCGAUUAGCAGUUGGCGGGUAAUGGCCCACCAAGGCUUCGAUCGGUAGCCGGCCUGAGAGGGCGGACGGCCACACUGGAACUGAGACACGGUCCAGACUCCUACGGGA
rnacentral:rRNA from 1 species